GAUGAACGCUGGCGGCGUGCCUAAUACAUGCAAGUCGAACGCACUAAUUUAUUAGUGAGUGGCGAACGGGUGAGUAACACGUUGGUACCUACCCUAAAGUGGGGGAUAACUCCGGGAAACCGGGGCUAAUACCGCAUGUGAUCGCGAGAUCAAAGCCUUCGGGCGCUUUAGGAGGGGCCUGCGUCCCAUUAGCUAGUUGGUAGGGUAAAAGCCUACCAAGGCAACGAUGGGUAGCUGGAUCGAGAGGUUGACCAGCCACACUGGGACUGAGAUACGGCCCAGACUCCUACGGGAGGCAGCAGUAAGGAAUCUUCCACAAUGGACGAAAGUCUGAUGGAGCAACGCCGCGUGCAGGAUGACGGCCUUCGGUUGUAACUAGU
rnacentral:rRNA from 1 species